rnacentral:rRNA from 1 species
CCUACGGGAGGCAGCAGUGAGGAAUAUUGGUCAAUGGACGAGAGUCUGAACCAGCCAAGUAGCGUGAAGGUCAGUGCCCUAUGGGCGUUAAACUUCUUUUGUGCGGGAGCAAUAAUGGUCACGUGUGGCCAGACGAGAGUACCGUACGAAUAAGCAUCGGCUAACUCCGUGCCAGCAGCCGCGGUAAUACGGGGGAUGCAAGCGUUAUCCGGAGUUAUUGGUUUUAAAGGGUGCGUAGGCUGGGAGGUAAGUCAGCGGUGAAAUGCCCUCGCUCAACGGGGUGAAGUGCCAUUGAUACUGCCUUGCUGGAAUGCGGAUGCCGUGGGAGGAAUGUGUGGUGUAGCGGUGAAAUGCAUAGAUAUCACACAGAACACCGAUUGCGAAGGCAUCUCACGAAUCCGCGAUUGACGCUGAUGCACGAAAGCGUGGGUAUCAAACAGGAUUAGAUACCCUUGUAGUC